rnacentral:lncRNA from 1 species
GUAUGAUUGUCAAUGAGACAACUCUCCACAAGAGACCAAAAUAACACAGAAAUUAUCAACUAUAGGUCAUCGUCGUACGGCCUUCAACAAUGAGCAAAGCCCAUACCGCAUAGUCAGUUAUAAAAGGCCCCGAAAUGACAAUGUAAAACAAUUCAAACAAGAAAACUAACGGCCUAAUUUAUGCACAAAAAUUGAACGAAAAACAAAAAUGUAACACAUAAACAAACGACAACCACUGAAUUACAGGCUCCUGACUUGGGACAGGCACAUACAUUUUGAAUGUGGCGGGGUUAAACAUGUUAGCGGGAUCCCAAAUUCAAGUCAAAUUGAUAUUUUAAAACAACAUAAAAGUAAAAAAGUGUAAAAAAAAAAAUAUUUUAAUAAAUGUUGAAAAUAUUAUUGUGUUUGUGAGUGGAAAACUACUUAAAAUUGUAGAAAUAUUCAAAAGUAGCUCUCGCGUUUUUGUUCUGCGGCUACGUUAACGGAACACCAAUCAAGUAAUCGAUCUUCAUGACUAUGGCUUCAAUAUUCAAUGGUAUAAAAUAUCAUGUUCUGCUUGUCGUAGACUCAAAAAGACUUCAAGUUGGAAUAGAUCUACGAAGACUAAAGAACGUUCAUGUGUGGUUUGGCAAUUGUACAUGCCCACGACACCGAUGUCCAGAU